ensembl:lncRNA
AAUUUGACCUCAAUAUUAUUUUUUUUCUGGUAAAUCAGAGUAUGCUGGAACCUGAAAUAUUUUUCCAUGUAAGCAUUUCUGGGCUGGACUUAAUUCACUUCUAAAUCUUUGUCUGAAUAAAUAAAAUAGACUAACAUUCUUAAAUCUUAAUCUGUCAGGUCUGUUUUACGGACACUGAGUCAUGCUUAUAAACCUUUCCUGAAUAUGCUCCAGUUUCUCAAUGAUCUUUCUGAAGCAAGGACAUGAGAUCUAUACUCUCAUAAUACCUCUUUCCUGUUUUGGUUACCUCUUCUUUCUGCAGUCAAGGAUGGCACUCAAAAGUUUAGCUGCUGUGCUGCCACAGGACCAUACGCUUGUAUGGCUGCCUUGUAUGACUUCUACAUAGGGUAAGUUCUAUAUUUUAUGAAGAUGUUCCAUCCCUAAUGUUUGUAUACCAUAGUCCAGCACUAGUUUAUUGCUGUCCUUUUCCAAGUUUUCUAUCAGUGAUUUCCUAUAUUUGUGCCGAGCAUCACUUGGCCAAAAUCAGGCCUCUGUGAAUUAUCUUGUAGCACACUAUUUCUUCAUUUUCAGUUAUCUUCAAGCAGCCUUAAAUGCUUGUUUACUGUAGACAAUGCUACGUCUGAAAUGUGUUUCUUAUAUCUGCACAUCAAAUGGAUCUAAACGAAUCAUUCUGUCUUUUCCUGUGUGCAACAUCAACAGUUAAGAGCUUGUGUAUAUUAUGCAAUGUCCUAACCAUGCUUACUGACUGCAGGGCACAGAUGUACCAGAUCUAUCUUUUUUGGGCUUCGAUCACUCUGCAGGGAGCCAUUGCUUUCUGCAGUGAAAGACAUUAGACCAUAGACUGGCUGAUGUGCUACCAAAGCUUAAACAGCUUUUGCCAGUUCUCACAUAUUUCGCAUACACAUGUCAUAGUAGAGCAAAGAGUAGUCCCUAGGGCUGUUUUAGGCAAUUAUGGUGAAAGACAAUGAUGGUGGUGAUAAUCUAGCAGCACUGCUAUCACUGUCAAGCAUUAAAUUUCCUCAGAAAAGACACCUAGGUUAUGUAAUAAGGCAUGUUAUAUAAAAGCUAUCAUAAAGAUCUGCUGUAGCAAUCUUUCUGCAACUUCACCCAACACCUAUGCCAUGCUACCCAUAGACACACACAUACUCUAAUCAUCCUGCAUUGUUGGGUUUUUUUUUCAAAUAUUGUCAUAAAAUCAAAAUUUUCAUUUCUCCACUGCUCUCUCAGGUAUUGUUUCAAAGAAAAUUAGCAUUAAUGACUGGAAAAUUUAUCCCCAGCAUGAGAACUGUGGUAACAUCAUCCAUUCUGCAUGUUCUAAAAGACCAUUUCACAUCAGCUGUGAGAUUUUUUUUUUUUAGUUAUUCCUAUUAUCCUCAUCUUUUUACUCUUUUUUUUUUUUUUUUUAAACACUUUUAGCCUUCAUUAAUAGUCAGUCUCAUACCAGCCAUAAUCAAAGCUUCACUUACUUUGGAUAAACACCCUGCAAUCCUAGUGCUUACCUAACCCAAUUCACACAAGGUUGUAUCCGCCUGUGCCGAGCUACUGAAUGACGCACUACAGAUUUGUACUUCCUCCGUCCGCAAUAGAAAUGCCAUCAAAUUCCAUGGAGUCUCAGCCAUGUUGUUCUGAGCCUGGGCAGGAAUUGCCAGCAAGAGGAGAACCACAAAAAACAGGUGUGAAGGCAUAAGCAUAAGUCCUUUGUUGCAUGAAUUAAUUCUAUUCAAGCCAUUUCGCUUAUUUCUACCUCUUUACAUAGUUUGAAGCUUUUAUUUAGUCCAUUGGUAACAAAGCGCUGGUUAUGCCUUCACAUUAUAGCUUCAGCCAAAAUUUGGAAGUCUCCAGUGACCUUGAAACUGAAUCAGAAGGGCCAAAUAGCAUACCUAAUGUGCAGUUCUAGUGAACUGCCUCAGAAAACUGCACAGUUUUAUGGAUCAGCUUGCUAUUUCUUCACCCACAGGGACUGUCAAAUCCCUUCAGAAAUGGGUGGUAGAUCAAACACGUGGUAGAGGAUUCAGCAAAUCUGAGAUUACCUCUGAUAUUCCUUGCUUCUCAGAUGCUUCAGUUAAUAUAUCAGUUGAUUUGUUUACAUAUUCCAGAAUUAUCUUAAAUCAGUUCAAAUAAAAAAUACAAAGAUUAACAUAACUAUAGCUAAAAUAUUUAACAAGUUGCAAUGCAGUUUUGUGGCAUUAAGUUUUAUAAGUAAUUAGAGUGAUGAUCAACAUUUUUCUUCAGCUAGAGGCACCACACAAUGUUUAGUAUGUGAUAUCAUGGAGACAGUCCGCUGUUUCAAUGGUACAGUACAGUUUAUUAAAAUCAUUCGUCUGUGAUGUAACAGUACCUCUUCAGACCGGCAAAAUGGCAGUUGUUGGUAAGUAUCCAUUAUGUUUAAAGUUUUGCAAAGGAUUUGAUUUCUUGACAUUAAAAAACGUAUCUUCCCAGUCUCAAGCUAAUACCCUAGUAAAAUGCAGUACAAAGUUCACUGUAUCUCUUUCUGUACAUUACCCUGGGCUGUACGAUAAGCAUUGUGUCUAGAUGAACAGCCCAUUACUGAACUCAUAAUGUGCCAUAAAUAGUGAGUUUAAUUUAUUAGAUUAAAGAAGAACUUCUUAUAAGAAUCAAAGAGAAGAAAGUGAGAUAAUUGGUUUUGUUUACUUAAAUAAAUUGAGCUGUUUUAUUUAGAAACUAGUCUCAGGCAAUACUUUCCUUUUUCCCAAAUACCAAGCUGAUUACAUGAUUUUGCAAACACUGAACAGAACUGAAAAUCAAAAUUUUCUCUUGGGAGAACUUACAUAAAAUAUUUCAGUAUGUUGAACCAGAGAUAAAUGUUUCACUAGGGAGCAUCUUGACAGCAAACUGUGGUCGAACUCCACAGCUUUUAGAAAAUUGUGUUUCAGUUGUAUGAUGCAUUUGCUCCUAUGAGACUGGGUUGCAUUACCUAUUAUAUGCCAUAAUACGACUGAUCCCUCGUGGUACAUUACAGAGGGAUUUUAUCCAUUCUGCAUCCUACCAAAACAUCUGGACAGAUGGGAGAGCACAUGUAGCAGCUGAACAACACUUUCCAUAAAGAGUCAUAACAGUGUAGGAUUUUUAAAUGUUGGAUGGAGCAAAAAGGUAACAUUUCCCAUUGGGGAUGUGAUUAAAAAAAAAAAAAUAAUCAUUUUUAUUUAAAGUGUUUUUAAUAUUUCCAAACUGAAAGAGCUGCUUCCACAUACCAUGCUGAAAUUUUCAGAUUCAGGACAAAAAUCUUGCUGAAAGAACAUUCUCACAUCUUUUAAUUAAUACCAUUUUUAAAAAAUCAUCUUUACUGAAGUGGGUUCUAUGUCUGAAAAAUUCUAGUUCUGAAAAAGAAUUCACUUUCUAAUAUUCAAUCUACAUUUGCUGCAUUGUAAAAUCUGAAAUAGUUCAAAACUCUGGAAGGAAUCACUCCAGCCUAGAGUCAAUGUGUUUUACUAGCCAGUGUGAACUAACGGGUUGAUCCCAUCAGUCCUGGUCAGUUCAUCCACAUUUAAAGUUUAAGAAAUACAGGUAUUUGGUCCAGUAUGGAUAUAGCUUAGGAGUUUGAUGGUGAGGUGAAAACCAAAGUUUAUCCUCACUAUUUACCAGUGGAAAACUGCUAUCAAAAAUGCAUGGUAUCUGUCCUUUCCCCCCCCCUCCCCCCCCAAAAUAGUGAGGAAAAAAAAAAACGACAACAGUAUUUUUCACACACUAAUGAAGAUGUAAACUUCACCAGAAUGAUUUCAGACCAACAGAAAUGAUCCACAAGCCACCUGCUGAGAUUUCCAUCACAGCAUACCUAGACAAGUUUUAGGCCUACCACAAAGUGGGGAUCUCGUUUUUUCUGACACAGAAACUUCAGAUCUGUGCCAGGCAUGAACAGGGGCCUGGAUUGAGGGUGCUGACCCACAUCUCCUGCUGCAAUGAAGCUGCUAAGGGCAGCAGGGCAGCCUUUGCCCCAGUUGUCCUUAGCACAUCUCUUCCCAAGCAGUGAGCCUCAGCUGGAAUGUGGGUCCUCACACUCACCUUCACUCCCCAAACUCUUUCACCAGUCAUCAGAGGACUCCUCCUACUAGAGAUUUUAAAAGAAUUACUGCAGUUUGCUGCACUAUCAUGGUUCAGAUAAGGGAUUAUGUGCAUUAUUGGAAGCCACAAAGUAAGAGGAGGGAGAUUUAAGUUCUGGAUGUUUUAUUUAAAGUCUGUAUCUAGUAAGCAAUCAUGCAAAUUUCUGCAGGAAGUUUACAGGAGAAUGGCUCAGUCAAUACCACUGUUUUCUUGUUUCCUAAAACUAACCUGCUGAUUUUACUUUGCUGGCUUGAGACUUCACUGGAAUGAUUAUGUAUAGUGUCAUCCUCCCAGAAGGAGAUCCUGAAGCUGUUAGGCGGAGAAAGAAGUCUAUCCCUUCACAGGAUCUGCCCAGAACAGCAGAGAAGUACAAUGGAAAACAAUGUCUGUUCAUUACAGGCACAAAGGCUGGGAACAGGUUUUGUGUUGUAGCCACCAUGGUGUGAGCUCUGGUUUGCUUCUUCUAUCUCUGCAUCCAGUUCUGGGCUUCUCAGGUCAAGAAAAAGAGGGAACUACUGGAGAGAGUCCAGUGCAGGACCACAAAGAUGAUAAAUGUACUGGAGCAUCUUCCUUAUGAGGAAAGGCUUAGAGACCUGGGGCUGUUCAGCCUGCAGAAGAGAAGACUGAGGAGUAUCUUAUCAAUACCAGGAAAUAAAUAAAUGAAUAGAGUCAAGUGGAUGUCGCCAGGCCCUUUUCAACAGAACAAGGACAUUGGGCAAAAAACUGGCACAAAGGAAUUUCCAUAAAACAUGAGGAAAAUCUUCUUUAUUUUGAGGGUGACAGAACACUGGACUAGGCUGCCCAGAGUGGUUACGGAAUCUCCUUCUUUUCAGAUAUUCAAGACCUGCCUGUAGACUUCUCUAUGCAACCUACUGUAGGAAACCUUUUUAGCAGAGGGGCUGGACCCCUCUGGAUGAUCUCCAGAGUUCUCUUCCAGCCCCUGUGAUUCAGUAAUUCUGUGAUCUCACCAUUCCUCCCACAACCUGCCUACAGCAAAGUUUCAGUUUGCUGACCCUAGAGCCAGCAGGGAGUUUCUCAUUGGCUUUAAUGUGAGCUGAGUCAGAGCAAAGGGAUCCUUUCAGUGGUGUCAGGGCCACAUGACAUGAUCAUGAUCUGUACAAAACUGCACUAGACCAUCACUCUGUUUGUCUUGAAGUAGGAAUGAGAGAUGUCAGAAGUAAUUAUCUCACACUGCGUUAAUCACCUAUCUAGAGGGCAUUAGCACUGCACAGACAAUCCUUCUUGUCUGCAUCUGUCUGGACACAGUCAAGUGGAAUGAUUGUCUAUAUUCUGAACCCUUAGGCUCUCCCAGAUUUAGUAGUAUGCAUGUGGUACUGCACCAAAAUCAAAGAUCAGGAAAGAAUCAUUAGCUAACAUCUCACACCACUUUGCUAGUCAGUUCUCUAUUCUUUGCAUGAAGGGACUUCUUGUGCUAAACUAGGUCUUCCAAACAAAUGAGAUCUAUUUCACUGCUGAUGUUCACUCAAGAGAUUUAAAGCAAUUGGAAAGAAAGGAGGCAGCAGAAGCUUACAGUUUUUUUCUCAUCAAGCCUCCUUCUUUUCAAGAAAGAAUGUAGAGUCUUCCCUUUUAAUUGAAGCAAACAAGCCUAGGUUUACAAAAAGGGAGAUGAGCAACGUUUUUAUUCCUUCCUUCAACGAUGUUAGGUCUUCUAACUCAAUUUUGCAAUGCAGUGAAAUGCCUUCUGUAUGAGAAUUAGCAGUUCCUGCAGACUCACCUUCUCCUUAAUGCAUGCCCAUGUCUUCUUUGCAGAGACCUGGAGAAAAGACAAUAGCACUGCACAAGCCUCAGAGAAUGCAUGAGUACCUACACCACCAUCCAUCCCUUCCUGCAGCAUGUGGCGAUGCACACAGCACUGGGAUAGAUAUUUCUAUGCCCACUAAGACUGUAUUUGCCACUGCGACACAGAAUUGAAAGAUUAAUAUGCCACCCCAGUAUUUCCAUCUGAAUGUCAUUGUAGUGCCAAUAGACUCAUUUCAAACUGUCUGUUGGGAACAAGAUGUACAAAAAGGGACAGUGUGUGGCAAAAGUUGGUCUGAAGAAAAGGCUUGAAAGAAAGGUCAUUUGAAACAGAGCUGGGAGUAGUUCAAACUUUGUGGCUGGGAUGGUGCAGAGACAUCUCUGUGACAAAUAGACACAAAUCAAUGUUGAAACUCUACUUCUGCAUAGAGCUGACUGAAUAAUCUUUGGUUUUGUCUAUAGCAUUUUUUUUUUCAUGCAAGGACAGCAGAUGUAGUUAAAGCAUUUUGAUAAUACCAAAAUAGUAUGUUUCAAUUGUUCUGCUAGAAAUAAUUUCCUGGGUCAAAAUAUAUUUCACAUUUAAUUAUAUUUCAAGACACUGGAUUUUUUUUUUUAAGAGAUCAAAUGAAAAUAGCUAAUUCCACAAAGUACACACAACCUUUAGCCUUUCUAGCUCCAUAAAAAUCUUUACAGUAGAAAAUAUUUUUCAUAUUUUUACAAUGUACAUCAGUCACGAAUGAAAGAACUAAUUAAUGGAGGAGAUACAACAGCAAAAGGCAUCACAAAACAAGCUGGGGUGCAAAACACACACAUUUGAGUGCAAGUCGUACCAAUGCAAUAGCGUAAAGUACCAAUGCAAAAUACACAAGGAAGAUGUGAAAGAAGUACAGAUCCUAUGCAGUAUAAGUGGGGCAGGGAUAGGCGACAAGAAAUGUCGUGGAGCCAUUAGAACUACACAGCUUCUGACCUCCAAAUCAACCCAUUCUGAGGACAAGGUGAGAUGAAAAGUGAUAGCAGGAGGUCUCUGUGCAGGUGAUGUGAGCCAUCAGAGUCAGCAUCCUGAGUCCAGUGACAGGAGAACUGCACCAACCUAUUAGUCAAAGGUUGGAGGAAACAUAAACUGCUCACAAUAAUCUGGGCAGGAACAUGCAUGCAGUCUUCUCCUAAUAGCUGCUCACUGGUUAAUCCUGCAUUUUUUAUAGAACUUAGGAAACUCUGGGAAGACACUAUUUAUCUGGGUGUAAAAAAACCUCUUUAAAUCUUUAUGAGAAGCUUCUCACCUUAAAAACACAUGUGUUUUAAUACCAUACUUUUCUCCAGAAGAGUAACGAUAAUUUCAAGAGAUAUACCUUCCUACGAAAACAGCGAUAAAAUUAGCUUGUGGUAUAUAACUUGGGGAUUUGCAAGGACUUUGAGAGGCUCAGGUGCUUUGGGCAGGUCCAGAAAUCCAUUUCCAAUGGAGUGAUGCUCAGACAAAUGUUGCCUCAAUAACAAGUUACACAGAAUUACUAUGAAGUGCUGGAGAUUUGCCAUAGUGAAUAUGCAAAAAUUGAAAAGGUGCGUUUGUUUGAAGUUUGUAUUUGCAUAUUUUCAAGCUUAGGUUAAAGCAUAUGCCAGUGAGUAUGUGUAUGGGAUUGAGAUCACUGUCUGGAAUAGGAGACUGAAUGGUUUCUGGAUUGGAAAAUACAGAUUCCUUUGUCCCGCUUCCAGCUUUUCACAUCAUUCUUCCUCUAAUCAUCUCUUUCCAUCAAAAUUCUCUCACAAAAAUUUCCAAAUAUUUCAAGCCAAAAUAUCUUAACCGGAGUACUUUCACACAGUUCUAGUCAAAAUGCACAUUUCCCAGUGAAAUUUUACACUUCUAAUGCCCUGGCCAGUCACCAAACCAUGAAGGAGUUAAUUCCAGACCUGUUUCUGUUUCUUAAUUCCAUUUCAGAGAAAAUGUUAAUCCUUUAAUUAUAUAGCAUGUUCAACUGACAAAAUGACUUUCGUACUGUUGAAAAGUACCUUGUUAUAAUGAAAGCUUUUGAUAAAAUGUGGCCACAGGGAAAAAUGAUAGAUUUGCUACUGAGAUGAUUUUUUUUAUAUAAAAAUUCAAGGGAAUAUGCAAUCCUCUUUAAGGAGACUAUUAUGUGGCCACAGUGGUUUCCCACUAUGCAGAGCCAACUUCCUGUAUUCCUGGAGCUGUGAAGCCUAAUGGUAAGCAAACUCUGCCCUCAGAGCUACAAAGGGGAGUUUUCAAAUAUGCACAAGGAAUUUAGCUUUAUGUCCCUUUUGCAUCUCUUAGAAAAUGACCUCCUCCCUCCUGAUAGCCAGGUUAUGUGGUGCUUCCAGUAGAGCAACACAUCCCUCUGAUGACAGCAUGGAGUAUGCUGCAAAAGGCAUUGCAGGUAAUAAGCUCAAAUCAUGAUUCCGUAACAGCAAUUCUGAGACAACCAUGGCAAGCAGCAAAAUCAGAUCAUGUGCAGCACUAAGCAACGGUGAAAAUUUCCAGUUACCACUCCAAGACUUCAGGAAUAGUGAACUAUGGGUAUUUUUUUCUUUCAUUACAAAGGAUUACAGAUAGCAAUAGUCGGUAACGUGAAAUACUGUCUCCAGAAGAAACUGACAUUGUGUGCCCACCAUUUUUAAACGCUGUAUGCAGGGUAAUCAGAUCAGACCUUUCCUACCCCAGAACUUUACUGAGUCCUGCUCAGUAAAUUUGUCCAACCAUUAAAGCUUUAUUAUCCUCUAAGAGCCCAGACAUGGGUGGAGAAGCACAAAAAUGCAAAGCACAACAAGUACUGCUUCACGACUAUUCAGUUUUGUGAAAAAUAAUGGUGUCUUUCCUACUGUGUGUGAACAGAUACUCAGUUUCCAGUCUGCUAGAUCUCAUCGUGUGUUCUAACUGGUGGAAAAUUGAUUAAAAAUUAGCACUGAGUUAAGCUCCUACUGUCUAAUCUUAUUACGUAAGCUUGAUUGUGUUUCACACUAAUAAGCUAAGAGGUUAGGACAUUAAUCUACUAUAAAUGAAAUGCUCCUAUGAAAUGUGAUGGAAGAGACAACAUGGAACUCACUUCACUGCAGCUGACUUACUAUAUUGCGCGCUGUGCUGUUAACGAAGACAAUGUUACAGCCUAUGUUAUUUGUGCUUUGAAGUUGUUACUGAUUUUAUAAUUUUCCUUCAAAACCUAGGGACAAAUCCCCAAUAAUACUAACAAAAUCAUUAAAAAAUAAUACAACUUGCAACGUGUUUGUGUUAUUUACAAGUUCAUGACCUAUCAGAGAGAUACAUUUUGACUAAGGACAGCGAGGGUGAGGGAGUAAAGGUGACACAACAGGGAGCUUUGGAGCUUGACUUCCGGCAGCAUGGAUGUCUGAUCACUUAUGAGUUACGUACCAUAGCUGGUAUUGAUUUUGAUCUGAAUUCAUUAGUUGUACACAGAUGUGCAUGGGAAAACACAAGAAUUAAUUUCUCCCCUGCUUCCAAAGCAGCACCUUUUAUUUCAUGCUUUUUGGAAGGAACAGAUGAUUGCCUCAUGGGUAAAGAUGGGAGGGAAGCUGAGCAGGAUCAUUAGCAUUCAGUUCUUUGCACACUUGAGAACAAUUUUAAAACCGGGAUUCGCUCAUCUAGAUGUUGCUUGUGAGAGUGGUACUGGAAGGCCAAAUUAAUGCUGGCAAAGCUCGUUGGGUGAGGAUCACUCUGCAGGUGCAUAAAUACUACUCUGAUAACAUCUGAAACUAUUUUAACUACAAGUCUUCAUAAUAUCUCUGUGAGAAAUAACCAUAGAAUUUAAAUGACAGGUGCAGUGAAAAGAACAUCAUUUUAAACUAAACCAAACAAGCAGUGUUAUUUAUUUAUUGUUCUCAAGUUUCUGGUGCUGAUUUACUCACUGGGAAGAUUAUGCAUAUUACCAACACGGAGCUCACCUAACAGUAUACACUGCCACUAAAAUAAAUAAAUAAAUAAAUAAAUUCUUCAUUCUUGUAAAUUAUGCAGCUAGAGGCAUAUUGGACAUGAUUCGGAUUGACUAAAGUCACAGAAAGACUAGAAAUCAGCAUAGCACUUCUUGUUCUCAAAACAAGAAUUCUCCACAUGGAUGUUGAGCAUAGGCCUGAAAAGUGAUUCUCCAGAUGUACAUUGCACAACUUGGUUCGCAUCAAACAUCCAGAGCCAGAGCUGCAGCCCCUCUGAGAUCCCCUUCACUGUGCCCAGGAGAGCAAAGAAAACUCAGAGCUGAUACCCAGAGGAGCCUCCUCUGUGUCUCUGAUAAAGCAGAAUCCUUCAGCAGCACUGAGCUUUCCAUCAUCUGCUUCCCAUCACUUCUCAUGCAAGGGCAGGAAGAAGCUGCUGGAGCAGAAACUGGAACCUGGGCUGGGACCACAUGCUUGGUGCCCAGGGAAGGCAGCCAUCCUUGGAGGUUUUGCUCAUGGCCCAAAACAGGGACAGCAGAAAAGAGCUCUCUGUUAGCAGAGGGGCUGUGCUGGCCCCUGCCCAGGAAGGGUUAGCAGGGGUACAAGGGCUGCCUUGUCUUCACUGCUGGUCACAGCAGCCGGACCUACCACACAUGGCACAGCAUGGAAUUACCCUUCUGCAUCAGGACUCUCUGAGCUAGUGCUCAAGCCCAUUUUGAGAACAUGUUCUGGUGCUCAGCAACCACAAUCAGUGGGAUAAGGAGAAAUUGAGGGUGCACAGCUGGGGGGAGGAGAAGAAGGAGGAGGAGAAGAAGGGGAAGGAGGAGAAGAAGGAGAAGAAGGAGAAAGAGGAGAAGGAAGAGAAGGAAGAGAAGGAGGAGAAGGAGGAGAAGGAGAAGGAGAAGAAGAAGAAGAAGAAGAGGCAGAAGCAGAAGAGGCAGAAGCAGAAGAAGAAAAGAAAAGGAAAAAAAAAAAACUCUUCUGACUCAUGCCUUAAAAUCAAAUCCACUUCAGUGGAUUUAGCUCAUACCAACAUUCUUGUAGCAAGCCACUGGAGCGGGCACUGAGGUUCCAGCUGUUUUAUGUGGUGUUCAUUAUAUCUGCCUGCUACAGCCUGAUUUUUAUUGCUUUGAAAACAUGUAAACCUCUUCUCAGUACAUAGGUAAGCAAAUCCUGAACGAUAUUACCCAGAGUGAGGGGAAGGGAAUGGCUUAGCGGCUAACCUUAGCACGAAGCAGAAAGGCUGUGGUGCAGAGCAAACAAUCUCCGUGGUCGGGGUCUGUCAGUCAAAUUCCUGGUGGACAAUCAGCCCUUAAGAUGUGAUUCCUGUCCCGGAAUAGCCCACACUUACGCUCUUAAGAGUUCAUAAAAACCUGCGGGUGACGACUCGCCGCGGCGGCUCGGGCCCCGCGGCGCAGAGGCGUUGGGUGAGCGCUG